CGCGUAGGCGGCCUGUUAAGUCUGGAGUGAAAGUCCUGUUUUAAGGCGGGAAUUGCUUUGGAUACUGAUGGGCUUGAGUGCAGGAGAGGUUAUCGGAAUUCCCGGUGUAGCGGUGAAAUGCGUAGAGAUCGGGAGGAACACCAGUGGCGAAGGCGGGUAACUGGACUGCAACUGACGCUGAGGCGCGAAAGUGUGGGGAGCAAACAG
rnacentral:rRNA from 1 species